rnacentral:rRNA from 1 species
UUGAAAGGGAAACGAUUGAAGUCAGUCGUACCAGCGGGAAUCAACCUUUCGAGUGGGGGUUUUGGAGUUUUGAAGAGUGUCAAAACCUUUGAGAUUUCAAAAUUUUCGCUCUUUUGGUGUACUUUCUCGUGGGUAGGUUAACAUCGAUUUUGAUCAUCAUAAAAAGAUUGGAGGAAUGUAGCUUCGAUCUUGUAUUGAAGUGUUAUAGCCUUUGGUAAAUGUGAUGAUUAGGAUCGAGGAUUGCAACGAAUACCCUUUUGGGCUAUCCGCCUGAUCUCUGAUACGUGGCCUUGGUAUCGAAAGCUUGCUUAUGGUAUUAAGGUAUUACGGUCAAAAGGUUAGAACGGAUUACAUUCGUUAAGGAUGUUGACGUA